rnacentral:lncRNA from 1 species
CUUCCUCUACAGGCUAGGCCUGGAUCUAGGCUCCUGCUAAUGGGCUCCUUUAGUAGUAGUGGUCUUUACAUAAUUUAUUAUGUAUGAGAUUGUGUGUUUAAUCCCUCGUAAUGUUUAUCAUUUUGUUUAUUUUUUAAAAUUAUUUAACAGACACAUGAGCAUUUUUAUUUUUCUAUGGGUACCAAAGUAUUUCCCAAUUAUAUUUAGUUCAUAUAUAUAUAUAUAUAUAUGUAUGUAUUUAUUUAUAUUAAAAACAAACAAAAAAAAAAGCUAGCAAAUGAACAAUCUUCCCCUUUUUCAAGAAAAUUAUUUAAUGAAUAGUGCCUCCUUUCUAAAAAAUUUAAUUUGAACUUUUGUUCUUCAUCUCAUUAGUGAUUCAAUGCCAAAUUUGUUUCAUGAAUCAUCAAAUUAACAUCCAAACUCAAAACCUUGUCAUAUUGAUUUUUUCAGCCAUGUUGCCGUUGUUGGAAAUGUGCCUUAAAACCAAUCAUAUGAUGAUACUUUACGGACAUUUCACAUGUUAAACUAAUCUAGUUCAAUAUAAAGGGAAAAGAUUAUUGUUUUAAGCCGUCUCAUAUAAAUGUUAUAUGCUUAAACAAUAAGUCCAAGGAAUAUGCAAUUGGGAGAAUGUGAUCUAAAGAAGUUAGAUUCAUGAGACCAUUCUCUUUCGUAUACAUAUCCUAAACGUUCCUGAUCAUAGGAUUGCCAAUUCGGCAUUGACAGUCCGUUAAGAUUUAGUACGUGUUAUGUCUUCUCUUAGGGAGAGUGACUGGUCUCGAGUCAUUGGUGUGACUGACAACAAGACAAGCAUAUAGGUGCUUAAUAGAGAAUGAGUCCAUUGAACACGAUUAACAAGGAGUUCUCGUACUCAUGUCACAUGAGAACUCAUGGUUGGGAUAAUGCAAAGUAGUCCCUUGACCUGAGGUAUCAUAGUUAUCUUGUGGUUAGGUCCUUGAUCUUUGACUAUGUUAAAGUCACUCCGUCAGA